rnacentral:tRNA from 1 species
GUAGCUGUAGUAUAAUUGGUAAUGCGUCCGGAAAUUGUGGGUUCAAGUCCCGCCGGCUACA